rnacentral:rRNA from 1 species
AGAAUAUUGCACAAUGGACGAAAGUCUGAUGCAGCGACACCGCGUGAGGGAUGAAGGUUUUAGGAUUGUAAACCUCUUUUAUUAGGGAAUAGCAAGGAAGGUACCUAAUGAAUAAGCUACGGCUAACUACGUGCCAGCAGCCGCGGUAAUACGUAGGUAGCGAACGUUGUCCGGAAUCACUGGGCGUAAAGGGUCCGUAGGCGGUUUGAUAAGUCUCAUAUGAAAACUUCAAGCUCAACUUGGAGAGGUUGUGAGAUACUGUCAAACUAGAGACUGUUAGAGGUAAGUGGAAUUCCAGGUGUAGUGGUGAAAUGCGUAGAUAUCUGGAGGAACACCAGUGGCGAAAGCGACUUACUGGGACAGUUCUGACGCUAAGGGACGAAAGCGUGGGGAGCGAACCGGAUUAGAUACCCGGGUAGUCCACGCCGUAAACGAUGAUUGCUAGGUUUUCGGGGCAUCGACCCCUCGUGAGCCGAAGUUAACGCGUUAAGCAAUCCGCCUGAGUAGUACGGCCGCAAGGCUAAAACUCAAAGAAAUUGACGGGGGACCGCACAAGCAGCGGAGCGUGUGGUUUAAUUCGAUGGUAAGCGAAGAACCUUACCAGGGUUUGACAUGUAAGUAGUACUGAACCGAAAGGGGAUGGACCCGCAAGGGAGCUUACACAGGUGUUGCAUGGUUGUCGUCAGCUCGUGCCGUGAGGUGUUGGGUUAAGUCCCGCAACGAGCGCAACCCUCUUUGUUAGUUGCACUCUCUAACGAUACUGCCCUUAAAAGGGAGGAAGGUGGGGAUGACGUCAAAUCAUCAUGGCUCUUACACCCUGGGCUACACACACGCUACAAUGGCAAGUACAGACGGUUGCCAACCCGCGAGGGGGAGCUAAUCCGAUAAAACUUGUCUCAGUUGGGAUUAUAGGCUGAAAUUCGCCUAUAUGAACGUGGAGUUGCUAGUAAACGCAGGUCAGCACACUGCGUUGAAUACGUUCCCGGUCCUUGUACACACCGCCCGUCACGUCAUGGAAGUUUGUAACACUUGAAGUCGUUGCGCUAACCCUUUGGGAGGCAGACGCCGAGAGUGGGACGGAUGACUGGGACGAAGUCGUAACAAGGUAGCUGUACCGGAAGGUGCGGCUGG